AGGUUAGGGUUAGUACGAUCGCGGAUAGCAAUCUUGUCUUCUUCUUCUCAAAUCAGGCCUCCCACGACCCUUCUUCCUUUCACCCGUCUUGGAAUAAAGAUGAUUCUCCCUGUCCCUGGGAGUUCGUCAAAUGCAACCCCAUCAAUGGAGUUUCCGAGCUUUCCCUCGAUGGGUUGGGGCUACCAGAGAGAACCGGAAGAGGGUCUGAGAAAUUGCAGCAUCUCAAGCCAAUCAAUUUUCUGGUACCUUGGAUUUUGGUGUUCGACAAGGCUCACGACAUUGGAUCUUCCAAAAAUGUUCUAUCUAGAUAUUUACCACAAGGGAUUUAAGCUAUCCAUAACCUGAAAGAGCUCAAGCUGCAGAGCAAUCAAUUCAGCCAUUCAUGACCUGGGUUUGGAGGAGAUUAAUUUGUCUCAGAACGAGCUGAUUGGUUGAGCUGAUUGGUUUAGUCCCAGUAGGAUCAAACAAGCUAUAUGAGAAACUCACAAGGAUGGACCUGUCAAGGAAUAGAUUAGAAGGUAUCUCAGCAGAAAUGAGAUUCUACGGACACUUGAGAUACUUGAAUCCCUCAUGGAGCAGCUUUAAAGCAAAGAUUCCACCAGAAAUGAGUUUGUUUCCGAACUUGAAUAUGUUCAAUUGAACAAAUCAUCUUUAGGUCAUACUUUGCUCCAAGUCCCUAAUUCAGAGGAUGCAGGAGGAACAAAGCGAUAAAAGAGAGUGAACGUGCUGCUGGAAACAAUAUUUUUUAUGACAAAGUUGGGAUAUUAUGCCUACUCAAAUAACAGACACUUAAGAAAGGUAACUUGCUCCUAAGAAGAUAAUGCACUAGAAAGGUAUCGGCUGCUCAACAUGUUAAAAAAGUUGGAUGAACAAAGCUUGGACACUGUUAUUGUCGCUAUUCUUUUGUAGAUUUUAGUAAUGUGUUUCUGUUUCUUAAAACUUAUGUACAUCUAAUUGA